rnacentral:rRNA from 1 species
ACUAGUCUCUUAAUUGGAGGCUUGUAUGAAUGGUUGGACAAGAAGUAAGUUGUCUCAAGUACAAAAAUUGAAUUUGACUUUUAAGUGAAAAGGCUUAAAUAUUUUAAAGGGACGAUAAGACCCUAUAAAGCUUAAUAAUUUAAUAUAUAACCAGAUAAAUUAAAAGUUUAAUAUUCUUUAUAUAUAUUAAAUUAUUUCGUUGGGGCGACGAUGAUAUAAUUUGUAACUGUUUAAAUUUUAAAUACAGAGAUAUUUGUGUGUAAUGAUCCUUUUUAUUGAUUAAAAAUUUAAGUUACUUUAGGGAUAACAGCGUUAUUUAUUUUGAGAGUUCAUAUCGACAAAAAAGUUUGCGACCUCGAUGUUGAAUUAAAAAUUCGCCAUGGCGUAAGAGUUGUGGAGGUAGGUCUGUUCGACCUUUAAAUUUUUA